rnacentral:tRNA from 1 species
GGAGGUGUAGCUCUGUGAUAGAGCACUUGCCUAGCAAGUAAGUGCAAGGCCCUGGAUUCAAUCCUCAGCACCACCA